CAUCUUACUGGGCAGCAUUGGA
rnacentral:ncRNA from 10 species